rnacentral:rRNA from 1 species
AAAUAGAUACCCCUGGUAGUCCACGCCCUAAAACGAUGCGAACUGGAUGUUGGGUACAUUACGGUACUCAGUGUCGAAGCUAACGCGUUAAGUUCGCCGCCUGGGGAGUACGGUCGCAAGACUGAAACUCAAAGGAAUUGACGGGGGCCCGCACAAGCGGUGGAGUAUGUGGUUUAAUUCGAUGCAACGCGAAGAACCUUACCUGGCCUUGACAUCUGUCGAAUCCUGCAGAGAUGCGGGAGUGCCGCAAGGAACGACAAGACAGGUGCUGCAUGGCUGUCGUCAGCUCGUGUCGUGAGAUGUUGGGUUAAGUCCCGCAACGAGCGCAACCCUUGUCCUUAGUUGCCAGCACGUAAUGGUGGGAACUCUAAGGAGACUGCCGGUGACAAACCGGAGGAAGGUGGGGAUGACGUCAAGUCCUCAUGGCCCUUACGGCCAGGGCUACACACGUACUACAAUGGUCGGUACAGAGGGUUGCGAAGCCGCGAGGUGGAGCCAAUCCCAGAAAGCCGAUCCCAGUCCGGAUUGGAGU